AUUGAACGCUGGCGGCAGGCUUAACACAUGCAAGUCGAGCGGAGAUGAGGUGCUUGCACCUUAUCUUAGCGGCGGACGGGUGAGUAAUGCUUAGGAAUCUGCCUAUUAGUGGGGGACAACAUUCCGAAAGGAAUGCUAAUACCGCAUACGUCCUACGGGAGAAAGCAGGGGAUCUUCGGACCUUGCGCUAAUAGGUGAGCCUAAGUCGGAUUAGCUAGUUGGUGGGGUAAAGGCCUACCAAGGCGACGAUCUGUAGCGGGUCUGAGAGGAUGAUCCGCCACACUGGGACUGAGACACGGCCCGGACUCCUACGGGAGGCAGCAGUGGGGAAUAUUGGACAAUGGGGGGAACCCUGAUCCAGCCAUGCCGCGUGUGUGAAGAAGGCCUUAUGGUUGUAAAGCACUUUAAGCGAGGAGGAGGCUACUGAGACUAAUACUCUUGGAUAGUGGACGUUACUCGCAGAAUAAGCACCGGCUAACUCUGUGCCAGCAGCCGCAGUAAUAC
rnacentral:rRNA from 1 species